rnacentral:tRNA from 1 species
GGGGAUGUAGCUCAAAUGGUGGAGCGCUCGCUUUGCAUGCGAGAGGCACGGGACUUAUAUUUCCA